rnacentral:misc_RNA from 1 species
ACCGGUAUACUGCGCGUCCGCAUUGACCGUUCCAGCCGAACACAGUCGAGCACAAUGCUGAAGCUGAUCGCUGCCAUCGCCCUGACGGGCGCGCUGGGCGCCGCCAUGCCCAUGGGCCUCAACGGCGACGAGGUGCAGCAGGUGUUCCAGGGCAUGCUGGACCAGUCGGACGCCGACGGCGACGGCCGCCUCUCGCCGGCCGAGCUCGAGCCCAUCAUACGGGCCGGCGGCCCGCACCUCAGCGUCGCCGACGUGCGGCACACCAUCUCGCUCAUGGACGGCGACGGCGACGGCUUCGUCAACCUGGCCGACUUCCGGCAGGCGGCCAACGAGCCGCCGCCGGCCGAGGUCGUGCCCAUCGCCUUCCGCGCCGAAGACACAGACGGCAACGGCCAGCUGACGCAGCAGCAGGCCCUGGAGGUGGCGCCGUCGCUGCUCAGUGGACACCGGCAGCUCGAGCACGUGCGCUACGUGCUGGAGGACGCCGACACCGACGGCGACGGCAUGCUGGAGCAGGACGAGUUCACAUUCGCCGUCGUCGCGCUCCAGAAAGAAGCGUGAAGACGGCCGACCGUGACGGGACCCCCGACGGCGGGACAGUGGGACGGUGGCCUCUGCAAGGCCGGUGGGACGGAGGCCUCCGUAAGACACCCGUACGACCAGUCACCCUGUGCCAAUGGGAGCGCCCGCUGUUCAUGCGGGACUCGGGAUGCUACCGCCAUAAGCCUCGAUACUGCUUGUGUGAACCGAUCAGCGUUCAGGACAACUGGGCUUAUCUGGUAACACAACAUUGUUGUACUCAUGCUUUAUCGGUGCCGACAUCAUAUUUUAUCAAUA